GAGUUUGAUCAUGGCUCAGGAUGAACGCUGGCGGCGUGCUUAACACAAGCAAGUCGAACGAAGCGCCUUACUUGAUUUUCUUCGGAACUGAAGAUUUGGUGACUGAGUGGCGGACGGGUGAGUAACGCGUGGGUAACCUGCCCUGUACAGGGGGAUAACAAUCAGAAAUGACUGCUAAUACCGCAUAAGACCACAGCACCGCAUGGUGCAGGGGUAAAAACUCCGGUGGUACAGGAUGGACCCGCGUCUGAUUAGCUGGUUGGUGAGGUAACGGCUCACCAAGGCGACGAUCAGUAGCCGGCUUGAGAGAGUGAACGGCCACAUUGGGACUGAGACACGGCCCAAACUCCUACGGGAGGCAGCAGUGGGGAAUAUUGCACAAUGGGGGAAACCCUGAUGCAGCAACGCCGCGUGAGUGAAGAAGUAUUUCGGUAUGUAAAGCUCUAUCAGCAGGGAAGAAAGUGACGGUACCUGACUAAGAA
rnacentral:rRNA from 1 species